AAGUUUUGGGGAAUCAUCCAAUAUACCACCACAUAUUCCAGAUUGAGGUUUCUACUAUCAUUCUCUUCUAAAAGAAAUCAAGGCUCCAUGGACAGUGUCUAUAUCAUGGACUUCUUGCCUUCAGAAAGUAAGGCCUUCAUCGGAAGAAAUUGCAAUAGAACUAAGACAAGAAAGUUAGCUAAAGAAAAGGUUAUGGUAGCCAAAUAAUUAAAAGGGAACAUCCUUCUGUAUCAGAAAUUCCCAUGUUUCCAUAUCCAGAUUUCUUCACCAAGGCAGAUAAAGAGUUGGCAAAAAUCAUUGACCAUCACACAGAAGCAACAUGCUGUGCAAAAUUAUACAUCAUAUUACAGCAGCUGAGAAGACAACAUAUAUCACAUCAAUGCUGCCUCUGUAAGGCACUCACAAGAGAAUAUUUCAAUUACUCUCUUGGCCACUCUUGGUCAUCAUUGUGUGAUGACCCAUCAUACAAUCCUAUCUACUUCAUCAUUUUCCUUAGUGCCCAUAAAAAGACAAGCUGAAGGUGUAAAGAGAAUGCAAGAGAGAUCAAUAGCCUCUGAUGUGUUGGACUCAGCUCAGAUUUUCCCAUGUAAAAGAUCUAAUUUUCGGCUGGACUGCGACACCAUGCCGAGAUUAAACUUCCCGCUCCUUAACUCACACACAUGUGUUCAUGUCUUCAAUCCUCUUGGCACUAGAUGAUGAGCCCUGGGUAUUUACCCCAGACAGUGCUGCCACUUCACAAGGAAACAGAUGUUAAAGCCCUUCUCAGAGAAUUUUCCAAGAGUAAAGCUGGUGAUGGAUAGCCAAACAUUAAUCAGCGAAAAGGAGUUUGACCUAUAGAGCCAAGGAGAAGUUGGACAAAGAACGUGAAAAGGACAACAUGCAAAUCCAGUCCAGUGAAUGGGAGCUCAAUGAGAAUCUUCAAAGGACCACACUUCUGUGUCCUACAGGCCUGGAGAUCUGGGAGCAAAACAGAAAGUACCAGACAACUGAGAGAGAGAGUGCUAAUAAUAAAGUACAAAGUGAGAG
rnacentral:sRNA from 1 species